rnacentral:misc_RNA from 1 species
CUGCAGCCCGGCUUGAACGGAGCUCUUUUUUCUGGGAUUGCGACGGAGAAAUUUUGCAAAGAUUGCCUCAUUUUGCUCGCAAUACCAGAAAAAAAGCGGGAGUGGAAGACGGAAAAAGC